CCCCCACCCUCAUUUUCUUCUUCCGGGUCGCGAGCAAAACUCUCCAAACCCUAUCUCUUUUGUUUCUCUUCUCACUAUAUACAAACUAUUGCUCUCUCUUGAAGAUUCGAAAGACGAGGUCGCGAAGCUUAGGAAAGGAAAGGCUCCAUUAGGUGACAGUUAGAGGAUUGCUUUAUCAAGUGGAAAACGAGUUGAGCUAAGCAAGAGGAAGAUGGCCAAAUCUAGGUGCUCAGUUCGUUAGACUGUCUACAUCCCCCUUUCUGUUUCGUUAGAUUACUUUACCAGCUCAGGUAGAGGACGCUUUGGAUAGUCAGUGGGGAGUAAGUAUGUUAGUAUGGACCGUUGUAAACAGUACCUUUGAGAUGUUUUAUAUAAUUCCAAGUCGGAAUUAUGGUUGAUGCUAUUUAUUAAGGGUUUGUAAUAAGUUUAUAACUUAUUAUUUUGGUUAGUAGUUGUAACUUGUUUCAUACCA